UGUGACAUCAUCUGUGAAAGUCAAGGAGGGACGAAUGGAAGGUAAUCAUAAAGGUCAAGCUUCAAAAGCUUAUAAAAGUACCAUAUAGUAAUGCAUAUCAUUUAUUUGCUGUGUUCUAUAAACUUCUGAAGUUGUUCAAAUAAUUUGUGUGAAAAAGAGACUGAAAUAUAGGCCGUUCUUCAUCUGGCCCAUAUGUAUCCAUCUUUUGUAAAGCCAACAACGUGGUAAAGUUUCCUUUUCUAAUGUGAAAAUGUUAUGAAUAAAGCUUAUUAUUAAAAGUUCCUCUCCUUUCUCUUUAUCUCAGGUGAUAGUGAUAGUUGAACAGUAAAAUAUGAUUAGUUUAAUGUACUGUAUACUUUCAAAUGAAAUAGCAAAGUAAAAUAGCUAAUAAGAUAAAUUGAGCAAAUUAACACCAAUUAAACAAAUGAUUAAGAAGAAUAAAAGUUGGAAGAUAAGACGAAAUAUACCAGUGAUAGUAAAAGUGAACAAGUUCUGCUGCUAGUUUCUCACACACACUGCUGUGCUUGUGCUGUUUUUUCAGACCGAGCGAGAUUGUGUGUGUAAACCCCUUCAGAAGCAGGAUCUGCUUUUAGACACAGCAAUGAGGAUCGUCCAGACUGAACUCCACAUCAGAGAAACUCACCCUAUGAGAUACACACACCGAUUCAGCACUGUAGAUCAUUCACAGCAGGAAAAAGACCAACGCUUCCUGUGUCUUUCGCUGCAGUGUUAGAUUUAGGCUGAUGGCAAAAUGUUGCAUGAUCCUUGAAAACCAUUACCAAAACUACACAAGAUGAAAGAAAAAAUGAUAUGUAAAUCACAGUUCUGACAUAAUGCACUGUAAAUGACAUCAAGAUUGGAAUGUUUGGAAUCAUCAGCUCUUUUAGUUUCACUGAAGGCAGAUCCUGGAAGACUGCAGCAGAGUUCCACUGUUGCCGAGGAGACAGCUGUCAAUCAUCAGCAGCUGCUGGAAUGCUCCAUUGAGACGCUUCAGGGGGAGCUCAGCUGUGCUGUGAAAGAUGGAGAGACCCUGAGAGAAGAGAGACAUCAGAUGAAGAGGAAGGUGGAGAUGACCACGGUGAACUCAGCACUGCAGAAACAGAAGGAGGACAACAAGGAGCUGAUGGAGAGCCUGGCAGCCUUCAGCAUCAGCAGGUUUAACAUCAAAAGAUCACAGAGUCAGAUGCACGUCAAACGAAGAGUGUGCUAGCACAAGUGCAACAGAUGGUCAUUGAAUUUACUCAACACUCAGCAACACUGCACUGCAGAACACUUACACACAGGUAAACACACACACACACACACUCUAACAAGCACAUUCAACAGUUCUGUGCUGCUCAGGUGUGUGAAACUGAACUGCAUAAACACAGAAAAGCAACUGACACUGGUCAAAUUUGAAC
rnacentral:lncRNA from 1 species